GAGGAAUAAGCAUCGGCUAACUCCCGUGCCAGCAGCCGCGGUAAUACGGGGGAUGCAAGCGUUAUCCGGAAUCAUUGGGCGUAAAGCGCCUGUAGGUUGUUUAAUAAGUCUGUUGUUAAAGACUAGGGCUUAACCCUAGAAAAGCAAUGGAAACUACUAGACUAGAGUAUGGCAGGGGUAGAGGGAAUUUCUAGUGUAGCGGUGAAAUGCGUAGAUAUUAGAAAGAACACCGGUGGCGAAAGCGCUCUACUGGACCAUUACUGACACUCAGAGGCGAAAGCUAGGGUAGCAAAAGGGAUUAGAUACCCCUGUAGUCCUAGCCGUAAACGAUGGAUACUACAUGUUGUGCAUUAUGUACAGUAUGGUAGCUAACGCGUUAAGUAUCCCGCCUGGGGAGUACGCUCGCAAGGGUGAAACUCAAAGGAAUUGACGGGGGCCCGCACAAGCGGUGGAGCAUGUGGUUUAAUUCGAUGCAACGCGAAGAACCUUACCAGGACUUGACAUACUACAAAUUCUUUUGAGAAAAAGAAGUGCCUUCGGGAAUGUAGAUACAGGUGGUGCAUGGCUGUCGUCAGCUCGUGUCGUGAGAUGUUGGGUUAAGUCCCGCAACGAGCGCAACCCUUAUUUUUAGUUACCAAUUCGUUGGGUUCUCUAGAAAGACUGCCGGUGACAAACCGGAGGAAGGUGAGGAUGACGUCAAGUCAGCAUGCCCCUUAUGUCCUGGGCUACACACGUGCUACAAUGGUUAAGACAAAGAGUCGCGAGCUCGUGAGAGUCAGCUAAUCUCAUAAACUUAGCCCAAGUUCAGAUUGUAGGCUGCAACUCGCCUGCAUGA
rnacentral:rRNA from 1 species